GAAAAUUGGAGUUCAGAAACCAAAACAAAAACGGGGUGUAAUCGAAAAACCUAAAGAGUAGAAAACAA
rfam:Flavobacterium sp. KMS contig003, whole genome shotgun sequence.